CUUGGAUGUGGUAGCCGUUUCUCAGGCUCCCUCUCCAGAAUUGAACCCUGAUUCCCCAUCACCAGUGGUCACUAUGGUAGGCACAGCAAGUACCAUCAAAAGUUGAUAGGGCAGACGUUCAAAUGGGUUAUUGCCUCCAUGGGGGGCAUGCGAUUGGCCCAAGGUUAUCUAGAGUCACCAAAGGAGCUGGGGCACUUUUUUUGGUUUUGGUCUGAUAAAUGCACGCAUAAUGCUCACACCCAUCCAUGUCACACAUGCAAAAAUCUUACCCCCAUGCAUGAAGAAAAUCACAUGUAAUCCUUACUUGCAUGUAGGAAGGAAGAUUGAUAAAUUCUGACAUACAUGCACGAAGAUUUCAACUCACUUCCAUGCAAAAGUAACUUUUCACUCUUACUUACACACAUAUGUUAAAAAAACUCACUUGCACACAAUUGUUCAUGGUUUGUUCGUGUGUUCCGGGUUCCUGAUGAUUGCAGUGGAUCAUGAUUAGAAGAACACAUCUUCAAUCAAGACUGGAAGAUGGCGAAUGGCAUGCGGACCAGAAGAAGGACCAGAGAGAAAGAAAGAGUUUCUACAAGCAACAUGAAUGGACAUGGAAGGAAUUUGGAACUUUGAAAUCUUGGAACUUUUGGCCAUGUGGAUAUGACCACCUACAGAGCUCUGAAAUCCCAUGUGACCUUAGAGGGGCUUAGCAUCUGUGACAGAAGGGAAAGUACCCUCAACAUAGGAACUCAUGCUUAUUGGAAGGAAAGAAAAAUAUGACAGUAAGACACUGUUAAAGUUGGUUAACUAAGCAACAACACAAAAGGCUCACAAUGGUUCAGCAAGUCACUUAUUAAUAUCCCCAAAGAAGUCGCUAAGUGGCUCAGUGGAUAGAGAAACAGACCUAGAGAUGGGAGGUCCUGGAUUCAAAAUUAGUCUUAAAUAUUUCCUAGCUAUGUGACCCUGGGCAAGUCUCUUAACUCCCAUUGCCUAGCCCUUACUGCUCUUCUGCCUUGGGACCGAUACUUAGAACUGAUUCUAAGAUGGAAGGUAGGGGUCUAAAUAAUAAUAAUGGUCCUGAAGUAAUUCAGAGCCCAGAGCAGACAGACAGAAAGACAGACAGAGAUAGAGAGAUGAUCUACAGAUCGGUGUUAGAUCACAGACAAGUAGAAAGAUGAUAAAGAUAGAUAACAAAUAAGCAGAUAGAUGAUUGAUAGAUGAUAGUUAACAGAUAAAAAAUAGAUAAAGCAGUUAUUGUUUACUAUGUACCAGGCACAAUUCUAGGUGCUAAGCC
rnacentral:lncRNA from 1 species